rnacentral:rRNA from 1 species
GACGGAGGAUGCAAGCGUUAUCCGGAAUGAUUGGGCGUAAAGCGUCCGCAGGUGGCAGUUCAAGUCUGCUGUCAAAGACCGGGGCUUAACUUCGGAAAGGCAGUGGAAACUGAACAGCUAGAGUAUGGUAGGGGCAGAGGGAAUUCCUGGUGUAGCGGUGAAAUGCGUAGAGAUCAGGAAGAACAUCGGUGGCGAAGGCGCUCUGCUGGACCACAACUGACGCUCAGGGACGAAAGCGUGGGGAGCGAAUGGG